CAGAUUCAGUGUCUGGGACCCUUAAGGUUGAAGAUUCUGAUAUUCUGACAUAGUAGCAGCAAAAGCCAUCUCCCAUGUAACCACAUGCUUCAGGAGAAGCUGACCCUACACCUAGCUCCACUGAAAACCAUAAGAAAGGAAUGUCAUGCCUAUAAUUGCUGCAGCUAUUUUAAUUCCAAGUAUGAGGUUGAAACAAUCAUGGAUGGCCAAGUGAAGAGAUGGAAAAAGCAGGAUUCAGGAUAACUUUAUUUUUUUGGAAGAUGACCAAAAUGCUAUCUCUAUUUGGAGAUAAUAAUUAGUCUCAUCUUCAUUGGCUUCUUCUCGAAUGCGGAGGGAAUUAUCGGAUGAGUACAUUGGAACAUGGUCGCCAUGUGGCCUGCUGCCCCCGUGUACCACUUGGAGACCAGCCUAGCAUGGAAAUGACCAGAUGUUGGAAGCUGAGCUACUGCUCAAGGUAUUAAUGCUUGAAAGAUAUUCCAUGUUUGAAGGGAUUUUUGUGGUGCUGGCCUACAAGUUGACCUUUUUGACGUGAAUAAGAAACAUUCUUCAAAACUGUGGUUGACAUCCAAGCUUGCUGUCAUGUUUUGAACUGCCCUAUGGAGAAAGCAACAUGGCUAAGAAUAUGAGAGAGCCAACAGGACAAUGAGGACCUCAAUACAGCAAGAAACCAAAUCCUGCCAACAACCAUUUCUCAGAUUCUGAAGACCAGGACUCCUCAUGAAUCUGUCAGCCCCCCUCACCCCAGCUCUGGGCCUCUGUGUCACCACCACUGCCACCUCAUCAUUAUUUUAUUUCAUGCCAGUCACUAGACUAAACACCUUACAGGCUUUAUCACAUUUAAUUCCUUCAGCAACACCAACAGGCACUCACAUCUCUACCCCACCAGCAGCGUCUUAGAGGCAGUGAGAACUCUAUUUUAGAAGAUGAGUACUCCAUCAUGUAACUACCUAUGACCACAAGCAAAGUCUGGAAAAGCAGGCGAAAGGUGCAUGAAUACUGGGCACCAGAUGCUGAAUCCAUAGCAGGAAUGUUAGCAUGGGGUUGUUUAAAAAACAUCCUGUGGGAAAGGGAUUCUGCCAGAAGCCAAGUUACCCCAACAGAAUAAGCCUAUAAGAUGUGGCCUUCCAGAAAACAAACAGGCUGAGGACAGAAGUGGGAAGAAUUCACAUAAAGGGGAACUUUUGCCUGCAUCAAGGGAAUAGCAGACAGGGUGAUCCAGCAGGAGAGCCACUGAAGUCACUCCAAAGUGUUCUGAAAAUGAAGACACAGCUUCACACCCUUGCCAGGCCUAGAGCCCAGAGCCAUCUCCCAAUAGCGCCAGACAAUGGCUGGUGUGGCUUUACCUCACUUUGGAGAGGAUACAUGGUGAUGCUGACCUCCAGGGCCAGCUGCUUGGCUUGCCAAGACAGUGUCCUCAGAGACUGUGCAUGCAGACCCACAGCCUACCUGCCCUGCCCCCGGGUCCUUGCUCUGUCUUUAGCCAGCCUUUGUGGGCGUUCACUUCCCAGCACUACGAGGGAGGCUGACUGGCCUAUUUCCUCCUGACUCAAGGAAGGUUUGCUUGCUGAAAGAUUAUCCAGAAAAGAAGAAAUUUGAACACAGAGAGAGACAUGCACAUGAAAAAGGUGAUGUAAAGAGAUGAAGGAGGUGACAGCCAUCUAUAAACCAAGGAGAGAGCCUGAAACCUUUCUUUUACGGCCCUUUGAAGGAACCAACCCUGCUGACAGCUUGAUUUUGGAUUUCUAGUCUCUAGAACUUAAAGACAAUAAAUUUUUG
rnacentral:lncRNA from 1 species